rnacentral:rRNA from 1 species
AUUGAACGCUGGCGGCAGGCCUAACACAUGCAAGUCGAGCGGAUGAAGGGAGCUUGCUCCUGGAUUCAGCGGCGGACGGGUGAGUAAUGCCUAGGAAUCUGCCUGGUAGUGGGGGAUAACGUCCGGAAACGGGCGCUAAUACCGCAUACGUCCUGAGGGAGAAAGUGGGGGAUCUUCGGACCUCACGCUAUCAGAUGAGCCUAGGUCGGAUUAGCUAGUUGGUGGGGUAAGGGCCUACCAAGGCGACGAUCCGUAACUGGUCUGAGAGGAUGAUCAGUCACACUGGAACUGAGACACGGUCCAGACUCCUACGGGAGGCAGCAGUGGGGAAUAUUGGACGAUGGGCGAAAGCCUGAUCCAGCCAUGCCGCGUGUGUGAAGAAGGUCUUCGGAUUGUAAAGCACUUUAAGUUGGGAGGAAGGGCAGUAAGUUAAUACCUUGCUGUUUUGACGUUACCAACAGAAUAAGCACCGGCUAACUUCGUG